rnacentral:rRNA from 1 species
AGAGUUUGAUCCUGGCUCAGAAUCAACGCUGGCGGCGUGCCUAACACAUGCAAGUCGAACGCGAAAGUCCCGCAAGGGAUCAGUAGAGUGGCAAACGGGUGAGUAACGCGUGGGCGACCUACCUUCGAGUGGGGGAUAACCUUCCGAAAGGAGGGCUAAUACCGCAUGACAUUCCGUGUUUGGACACACGGGUAUCAAAGCCGGGGAUCGCAAGACCUGGCGCUUGAAGAGGGGCCCGCGUCCGAUUAGCUAGUUGGUGGGGUAAUGGCUCACCAAGGCUCCGAUCGGUAUCCGGCCUGAGAGGGCGGACGGACACACUGGGACUGAGACACGGCCCAGACUCCUACGGGAGGCAGCAGUGGGGAAUUGUUCGCAAUGGGCGCAAGCCUGACGACGCAACGCCGCGUGGAGGAUGAAGACCUUCGGGUCGUAAACUCCUUUCGACCGAGAUGAAUUCCCGCCGGCCUAACACGCUGGCGGGUUGACAGUAUCGAGGGAAGCA